CCCCAGAUGUUGCUGAACUACAACUCCCAUGAUUGCCUGGCUAUCUGUUUCAUUGAAAGAAUCAUGGGAGUUGUAGUUCAGCAACAUCUGGGG